rnacentral:rRNA from 1 species
GGUUAAGCGACUAAGCGUACACGGUGGAUGCCCAGGCAGUCAGAGGCGAUGAAGGACGUGCUAAUCUGCGUAAAGCGACGGUAAGGUGAUAUGAACCGCUACAGCCGUCGAUGUCCGAAUGGGGAAACCCGGUGCACUCUGUGCAUCAUUGCAGCAUGAAUACAUAGUGCUGCAAGGCGAACCGGGGGAACUGAAACAUCUAAGUACCCCGAGGAAAAGAAAUCAACCGAGAUUCCCCCAGUAGCGGCGAGCGAACGGGGAGCAGCCCAGAGCCUGAAUCAGCCUGUGUGUUAGUGGAAGCGUCUGGAAAGUCGCAGGGUACAGGGUGAUACUCCCGUACACAAAAACACACAUGCUGUGAGCUCGAUGAGUAAGGCGGGACACGUGGUAUCCUGUCUGAAUAUGGGGGGACCAUCCUCCAAGGCUAAAUACUCCUGACUGACCGAUAGUGAACCAGUACCGUGAGGGAAAGGCGAAAAGAACCCCGGCGAGGGGAGUGAAACAGAACCUGAAACCGUGUACGUACAAGCAGUGGGAGCCUUCUUUAUGGGGGUGACUGCGUACCUUUUGUAUAAUGGGUCAGCGACUUAUAUUCUGUAGCAAGGUUAACCGUAUAGGGGAGCCGCAGGGAAACCGAGUCUUAACUGGGCGUUAAGUUGCAGGGUAUAGACCCGAAACCCGGUGAUCUAGCCAUGGGCAGGUUGAAGGUUGGGUAACACUAACUGGAGGACCGAACCGACUAAUGUUGAAAAAUUAGCGGAUGACCUGUGGCUGGGGGUGAAAGGCCAAUCAAACCGGGAGAUAGCUGGUUCUCCCCGAAAGCUAUUUAGGUAGCGCCUCGUGAACUCAUCUUCGGGGGUAGAGCACUGUUUCGGCUAGGGGGCCAUCCCGGCUUACCAACCCGAUGCAAACUGCGAAUACCGAAGAAUGUUAUCACGGGAGACACACGGCGGGUGCUAACGUCCGUCGUGAAGAGGGAAACAACCCAGACCGCCAGCUAAGGUCCCAAAGUCAUGGUUAAGUGGGAAACGAUGUGGGAAGGCACAGACAGCCAGGAUGUUGGCUUAGAAGCAGCCAUCAUUUAAAGAAAGCGUAAUAGCUCACUGGUCGAGUCGGCCUGCGCGGAAGAUGUAACGGGGCUAAACCAUGCACCGAAGCUGCGGCAGCGAC